rnacentral:rRNA from 1 species
CAGUCGCCGCGGUAAUACAUAGGUGGCGAGCGUUGUCCGGAAUUAUUGGGCGUAAAGGGAGCGCAGGCGGACAUAUAAGUCCAUCUUAAGAGUGCGGGGCUCAACCCCGUGAGGGGAUGGAAACUGUAUGCCUUGAGUGCAGGAGAGGAAAGCGGAAUUCCCAGUGUAGCGGUGAAAUGCGUAGAUAUUGGGAGGAACACCAGUGGCGAAGGCGGCUUUCUGGACUGCAACUGACGCUGAGGCUCGAAAGCCAGGGGAGCGAACGGGAUUAGAUACCCCUGUAGUCCCUGUCUCUUAUACA